rnacentral:rRNA from 1 species
GUGCCAGCCGCCGCGGUAAUACGAAGGGGGCUAGCGUUGUUCGGAAUCACUGGGCGUAAAGGGCGCGUAGGCGGCCUGGCAAGUCGGGGGUGAAAGCCUGUGGCUCAACCACAGAAUGGCCUUCGAUACUGUCGGGCUCGAGACCGGAAGAGGUCAGUGGAACUGCGAGUGUAGAGGUGAAAUUCGUAGAUAUUCGCAAGAACACCAGUGGCGAAGGCGGCUGACUGGUCCGGUUCUGACGCUGAGGCGCGAAAGCGUGGGGAGCAAACAGGAUUAGAUACCCGCGUAGUCC